rnacentral:rRNA from 1 species
CGGAUCGGAGUCUGCAACCCGACUCCGUGAAGCUGGAUUCGCUAGUAAUCGCGCAUCAGCCAUGGCGCGGUGAAUACGUUCCCGGGCCCUUGUACACACCGCCCGUCAAGCCAUGGAAGCCGGGGGCGCUUGAAGUGCGUUGCCGCAAGGCGCGCCCUAGAGCGAAACCGGUGACUGGGGCUAAGUCGUAACAAGGUACC